UGGGGAAUAUUGCACAAUGGAGGGAACUCUGAUGCAGCGACGCCGCGUGAGUGAUGAAGGAAUUCGUUUCGUAAAACUCUGUUCUAUGGGAAGAAAAGGACUGUACCAUAGGAGAAAGCUCCGGCUAAAUACGUGCCAGCAGCCGCGGUAAUACGUAUGGAGCGAGCGUUGUCCGGAAUUAUUGGGCGUAAAGGGUGCGCAGGCGGCUUUACAAGUUGGAUGUGAAAUAUUGUGGCUCAACCACAAACGUGCAUCCAAAACUGCAAAGCUUGAGUUAAGGGGAGGUAAGUGGAAUUCCUGGUGUAGCGGUGGAAUGCGUAGAUAUCAGGAGGAAAACCGGUGGCGAAGGCGACUUACUGGACUUAAACUGACGCUCAGGCACGAAAGCGUGGGGAGCAAACAGA
rnacentral:rRNA from 1 species